UCAUACCACCCUGCAUGUCAUCUUCCUCAGACUUACCAUCCUAAAAAGCUGUGGCUCCUCACCAUAGUUGCCUUGUGGAAUGGUCUUAAAAGUGGGAACAUCGCAUGUGAUCUGCAGUCAGGAAUCUUUUUGUAUUCUGAAGUAGUUCAUAGAAAGCAUAAAAAUAUGGAAAGAAAAAAUAAAUGUCUUUGGUGGCUGACAGAAAAGAUAGCAGUUUUUGCUGGACUUAUUAGGAAAUAUCUUUCUACUUUUUCUCCCAUAUACAGUGUUUACCAUGGGUGAGGCUAGUCCAGAGGGAGGUGUCAGUUUCCCAAGUAGAGACAUAAGUCUUUCUAGAGAUCAAAAUAAAUGUGUUCCACAGAACUACAAAAGGCUGGAUAACCUAAGGCCUGGGUUGAAAAAGCCCUCCUAGUGAAAGGCUGUAGUCAAGAAAAGG
rnacentral:lncRNA from 1 species